GCUGAUUUAGCUCAGUAGGCAGAGCGCAUCCAUGGUAAGGAUGAGGUCGCCGGUUCGAUCCCGGCAAUUAGCAUCA
rnacentral:tRNA from 9 species